GUCAUAGACCCCACAGCUAAAGCCGGGGGCUUGAAGGUGCCUGAGAGCCUUCAGCGCAGGCCGGUACCUAUGACCAGCCCGAGCGCCGGAGCCCGAAGGACAAGGGCGAUGAAGGCGCUACGUUCUGUGGGUGAUGGCACCCUGGGGUGCUUCUCCAGCUCCAGGCCCUGCCGCCUGCGGUUAAACAGCGAGCUGGGGGUGUAAGCGAGCCGUGCCACAGGCGUAAAAAGCCCACGGAACAUGGGCGAGGAGAGAUGC
rfam:Pyrinomonas methylaliphatogenes, K22, WGS project CBXV01000000 data, contig: PYK22_K22_C4